rnacentral:rRNA from 1 species
ACACAUGCAAGUCGAGCGGAGAAUAUGAUCCAUUGUAUUCUUAGCGGCGGACGGGUGAAUAACGCGUGGGCUAUCUGCCUUAUAGAGGGGGAUAACACAUACAAAUUUGUGCUAAUACCGCAUAACACCACACAAGCACAUGCUUGAGUGAUCAAAGGAGUAAUCCGCUUUAAGAUGAGCCCGCGUCUGAUUAGCUAGUUGGUGGGGUAACAGCCUACCAAGGCGACGAUCAGUAGCCGAACUGAGAGGUUGAUCGGCCACAUUGGGACUGAGACGCGGCCCAGACUCCUACGGGAGGCAGCAGUGGGGAAUAUUGCGCAAUGGGGGAAACCCUGACGCAGCGACGCCCCGUGGAGGAUGAAGGUCUUCGGAUUGUAAACUCUUGUCUACAGGGACGAAAAAAAUGACGGUACCUGUGGAGGAAGCCCCGGCUAACUACGUGCCAGCAGCCGCGGUAAUACGUAGGGGGCUAGCGUUGUCCGGAAUUACUGGGUGUAAAGGGCGUGUAGGCGGGUAUAUAAGUCAGAUGUGAAAUACCGAGGCUCAACUUCGGGGCUGCAUCUGAAACUAUAUAUCUUGAGUGCAGGAGAGGAAAGCGGAAUUCCUAGUGUAGCGGUGAAAUUCGUAGAUAUUAGGAGGAACACCAGUGGCGAAGGCGGCUUUCUGGACUGUAACUGACGCUGAGGCGCGAAAGCGUGGGGAGCGAACAGGAUUAGAUACCCUGGUAGUCCACGCCGUAAACGAUGGAUACUAGGUGUUGGAGGUAUCGACCCCUUCUGUGCCGGAGUUAACACAAUAAGUAUCCCACCUGGGG